GGCUCAGAUUGAACGCUGGCGGCAGGCCUAACACAUGCAAGUCGAGCGGUAGAGAGGUGCUUGCAUCUCUUGAGAGCGGCGGACGGGUGAGUAAUGCCUAGGAAUCUGCCUGGUGGUGGGGGGAUAACGUUCGGAAACGGACGCUAAUACCGCAUACGUCCUACGGGAGAAAGCGGGGGAUCUUCGGACCUCGCGCCAUUAGAUGAGCCUAGGUCGGAUUAGCUAGUUGGUGAGGUAAUGGCUCACCAAGGCGACGAUCCGUAACUGGUCUGAGAGGAUGAUCAGUCACACUGGAACUGAGACACGGUCCAGACUCCUACGGGAGGCAGCAGUGGGGAAUAUUGGACAAUGGGCGAAAGCCUGAUCCAGCCAUGCCGCGUGUGUGAAGAAGGUCUUCGGAUUGUAAAGCACUUUAAGUUGGGAGGAAGGGUAGUAACCUAAUACGUUGCUACUUUGACGUUACCGACAGAAUAAGCACCGGCUAACUUCGUG
rnacentral:rRNA from 1 species